UCAGACUGAAGGAGGGACUGGACUGUAGCAGAGAGGAGAUCAGAGAUUUCUGCAAGGGACAGAUUUCUCACUUCAAGAUCCCCCACUAUGUGGUGUUUGUGGACAGCUAUCCACUGACUGCCUCUGGAAAGAUCCAGAAGAAUAAACUGAGGGAGGAGAUGGAGAAGAAGCUGGGUCUGUGAUGGACAGAGGGACCUAGACAGACUGGGCUAAAAGCAACCCACAUUGAGCACCGUUUACACCAUCAAUACGCACAAAGAUCAUCCGCACAGUGAAUCUGAAUUACAACCACGGACAUUUAGUUGUGGCUGCUGCCAACAUUUUCAUUUUUUACUAUUUUGUCCUCUGGUGGGGAAUUGUCAGGAUUUGGCCAGGGUUGUUCCGGUUUUAGUAACCGGGUCCUGACAGGUAAUAUCUUCAGAUGAAUCACUUAACUAUUUGACAAUCAUUUUGUUCAAAUGAAAUGAGGCAUUUCCUUGUUUACCACAGAUAAUCUACUGUGGCAAUCGACCCUCCACAUGUUAUGAAUGGAAAGGUCAUGUUGGUGUCCUUACUUGUAUUUCCAAUGUAUGUCAUCCAUUAAUGAGUAAUACAUCCAUUAAUAUAAUCCAUUAAUGAGUAAUACAUCCAUUAAUAUAAUCCAUUAAUGAGUAAUACAUCCAUUAAUGAGUAAUACAUCCAUUAAUAUAAUCCAUUAAUGAGUAAUACAUCCAUUAAUAUAAUCCAUUAAUAAGUAAUACAUCCAUUAAUGAGUAAUACAUCCAUUAAUGAGUAAUACAUCCAUUAAUGAGUAAUACAUCCAUUAAUAUAAUCCAUUAAUGAGUAAUACAUCCAUUAAUAUAAUCCAUUAAUGAGUAAUACAUCCAUUAAUAUAAUCCAUUAAUGAGUAAUACAUCCAUUAAUAUAAUCCAUUAAUGAGUA